rnacentral:rRNA from 1 species
UACAGAGGGUGCGAGCGUUGUUCGGAAUUAUUGGGCGUAAAGGGCGCGUAGGCGGUGCGGUAAGUCACCUGUGAAAUCUCCUGGCUCAACUGGGAGCUUGCAGGCGAAACUGCCGUGCUGGAGUGUGGGAGAGGUGAGUGGAAUUCCCGGUGUAGCGGUGAAAUGCGUAGAUAUCGGGAGGAGCACCUGUGGCGAAAGCGGCUCACUGGACCACAACUGACGCUGAGGCGCGAAAGCUAGGGGAGCAAACAGG